GUACACUCCUGCGGGAGGCAGCAGUGGGGAAUUUUGGACAAUGGGCGAAAGCCUGAUCCAGCAAUGCCGCGUGAGUGAAGAAGGCCUUCGGGUUGUAAAGCUCUUUUGUCAGGGAAGAAACGGUGAAAGCUAAUAUCUUUUGCUAAUGACGGUACCUGAAGAAUAAGCACCGGCUAACUACGUGCCAGCAGCCGCGGUAAUACGUAGGGUGCAAGCGUUAAUCGGAAUUACUGGGCGUAAAGCGUGCGCAGGCGGUUUUGUAAGUCUGAUGUGAAAUCCCCGGGCUCAACCUGGGAAUUGCAUUGGAGACUGCAAGGCUAGAAUCUGGCAGAGGGGGGUAGAAUUCCACGUGUAGCAGUGAAAUGCGUAGAUAUGUGGAGGAACACCGAUGGCGAAGGCAGCCCCCUGGGUCAAGAUUGACGCUCAUGCACGAAAGCGUGGGGAGCAAACAGGAUUAGAUACCCGAGUAGUCCCA
rnacentral:rRNA from 1 species